CCUACGGGAGGCAGCAGUGAGGAAUAUUGGUCAAUGGACGAGAGUCUGAACCAGCCAAGUAGCGUGAAGGAUGACUGCCCUAUGGGUUGUAAACUUCUUUUAUAUGGGAAUAAAAUGUUCCACGUGUGGGAUUUUGUAUGUACCAUAUGAAUAAGGAUCGGCUAACUCCGUGCCAGCAGCCGCGGUAAUACGGAGGAUCCGAGCGUUAUCCGGAUUUAUUGGGUUUAAAGGGCGCGUAGGUGGAUUGUUAAGUCAGUUGUGAAAGUUUGCGGCUCAACCGUAAAAUUGCAGUUGAAACUGGCAGUCUUGAGUACAGUAGAGGUAGGCGGAAUUCGUGGUGUAGCGGUGAAAUGCUUAGAUAUCACGAAGAACUCCGAUUGCGAAGGCAGUUCACUGGACUGUGACUGACACUGAGGCUCGAAAGUGUGGGUAUCAAACAGGAUUAGAUACCCUAGUAGUC
rnacentral:rRNA from 1 species